GGCCUCGUAACUCAGGUGGUUAGAGUGGUGACUGUUGCGAGGACUUCCCCAUUGUUUAUGUGGGUUCGAAUCCCACCGAGGUCA
rnacentral:tRNA from 1 species